GAUGAACGCUGGCGGCGUGCCUAAUACAUGCCAGUCGAGCGAACAGAUGAGGAGCUUGCUCCUCUGACGUUAGCGGCGGACGGGUGAGUAACACGUGGAUAACCUACCUAUAAGACUGGGAUAACUUCGGGAAACCGGAGCUAAUACCGGAUCAUAUAUUGAACCGCAUGGUUCAAUAGUGAAAGACGGUUUUGCUGUCACUUAUAGAUGGAUCCGCGCCGCAUUAGCUAGUUGGUAAGGUAACGGCUUACCAAGGCAACGAUGCGUAGCCGACCUGAGAGGGUGAUCGGCCACACUGGAACUGAGACACGGUCCAGACUCCUACGGGAGGCAGCAGUAGGGAAUCUUCCGCAAUGGGCGAAAGCCUGACGGAGCAACGCCGCGUGAGUGAUGAAGGUCUUCGGAUCGUAAAACUCUGUUAUUAGGGAAGAACAAAUGUGUAAGUAACUAUGCACGUCUUGACGGUACCUAAUCAGAAAGCCACGGCUAACUACGUG
rnacentral:rRNA from 1 species